CUGAAGGGAGAUACUGACUUAGAAAUACAGGUGAACUCAUGAAAAUAAGCUCAUGAAAUACUCAUGAAAGAAGCUCAUGAAAUACAUUAAUAUGCCUUUUUCAGAAUAUAUUUCACCAAUUUUAAGGAGUCCCUGACAUCAAAACAUGGCUUGUUUUGUUCCUGGACUCUUCAGUGAUGAUGAGCAGAGUCUAAGUGAACCUGCUGUCAGACAAUCACUAUUGCACACCAAAUGCUCUUACUCAGCAGAUGGGGACAGCUACCAUCACCCAAUUUUCACCCAAAAGUGGCUGCGCUAUGCGCCAGACCGGGCAGGAGGGACUGGACGACAACUUAUGCAGGCAUCAGAUGACAAUGAAGUGUAAAUAAAGAGUAGAGGCUAAUAAACAGGAAUUUGAUUUUAAAUAGUGUGGUGUGUUCUGUGUUUUAUACAAGAUUUUAAAUGUUCUAUUAAUUUUUAACAUCCUGGCUGUAGAUAAAGCAGGCUAUUUAAUUUAUGGCAUUACAUUUAAAAUUAACAUUUAAAAAUGAUUGAAAUUCCAUUGAAAUCACGUUGAUCCUUAGUUCAGUUGAAAUUUCAACAUUGUUUCAAUAUUCCUGAUAAUUGAAAUACCAUUGAAAUUCCGUUGAUCUAUGGACAGAAUUUCAACAUUGUUUCAAUAUUAAAUCAGGGUGCAAAAUGAUGUUGGAUCAACAUCAGAGUUCGAUGUUGAUUCAAUGACUUAAUGUUGACAACGGGAUGUUGAUUCAGCAUAGUUUCAAUGACUGUUUGCUAUCUGGG